rnacentral:tRNA from 1 species
GGGAGCGUGGUGUAAUUGGCUAACAUCUCGGUCUCCAAAACCGAGGUUGGGGGUACUCUCCCUUGAAGGCUCCGCCAACAAAUCCCUCCGCUCUCG